UACGUAGGGGGCUAGCGUUGUCCGGAAUCAUUGGGCGUAAAGAGCGUGUAGGCGGUCCGGUAAGUCCGUUGUGAAAGUCAGGGGCUCAACCCUUGAAUGCCGGCGGAUACUGUCGGGCUAGAGUCCGGAAGAGGCGAGUGGAAUUCCCCGGUGUAGCGGUGAAAUGCGCAGAUAUCGGGAGGAACACCUAUGGCGAAGGCAGCUCGCUGGGACGGUACUGACGCUGAGACGCGAAAGCGUGGGGGAGCAAACAGG
rnacentral:rRNA from 1 species